ACUGAGGGAGGCGGAGGCGCAGAGGUCCAAGUGCUGAAGUCUCCAUGUGACAGUGAGCGGGAUCCCCUCUCCGAGCACCGUUCGACUGUGGGUAGCGGCCACAAGAACCGUGCACUGUUUCAGCUCCGACCCAGACCACCAGGCCGAGGACACUCGGUGUUUGGCUGUGCGACCGCCGAACUUGGGGUGCAGACUGAGUCGCCGCCGCCGGGAAGGAUUCCGGGGACCUGGCGGAGAGAGGCGGAGCGGCGCGCCGAGCGGGGAUUUCUGUCAGCGCCGGCGCUCCUGAGGACCGAGGCAUGAACGGCUUCACGCCGGAGGAGAUGAGCCGCGGCGGGGACGCGGCCGCUGCUGUGGCCGCAGUGGUUGCAGCUGCGGCCGCUGCCGCCGCCUCGGCUGGAAACGGGAACGGGGCGGGCACCGGGGCCGAGACUCCGGGCGCCGGAGCGGUCUCGGCGGCGGGGCCCCCGGGACCGGCUGGGCCGGGCCCCGGGCAGCUGUGCUGUCUGCGGGAGGACGGGGAGCGGUGCAGCCGAGCAGCGGGCAACGCCAGCUUCAGCAAGAGAAUCCAGAAGAGCAUCUCCCAGAAGAAGGUGAAGAUCGAGCUGGACAAGAGCGCGAGGCAUCUUUACAUUUGUGAUUAUCAUAAAAACUUAAUUCAGAGUGUUCGAAACAGAAGAAAGAGAAAAGGGAGUGAUGACGAUGGAGGUGACUCACCAGUUCAAGAGAUUGAUACUCCAGAGGUUGAUUUAUACCAAUUACAAGUAAAUACACUUAGAAGAUACAAAAGACACUUCAAGCUACCAACCAGACCAGGACUUAAUAAAGCACAACUUGUUGAGGGGAAUAAAGUACAAAGAAACGAGUGGGAAGACAAAGAUCAAGAAGAUCAUGUCCAUUACACUCUGCUACAUAAAAGCAGAUGAAUUCAAAACCCAUAUACCACCACUCCCUGACUGGUCCUGUGUCUCUAAACAUAUGCGAUAUCUCCUCAGACAACAACAUUAGCAUUAGAGUGUAAGAAUAUCAGAUGAAAGGUCCAUGCCAGAGGACAAAGUAGAGUUUCUGCCACAGUCUUAGUCACAUUGAGUGAUGGAAAGUUCCACACCUGGCAAGCACUUAUGAAGAAUCUUCUUAAAUGCUCCAACUGACUGGAUGAAUUUGGGCAAACAGAGACUAGAGGAGGUGCUGGAAGGAGGUCCUUUACAAAUGAACCUUUGUCUGCCUUGUCUCUUGCCUGGAUUGACAGACUCGCUGCUCCAGCCAGGACUAGAAGGAGGAGGGGACUGGAC